CCCUGGCAGACGCGGUGCACCUGGCCCCACGCGUGGCCGCCGCCGCCUCCUCCCCCACGCCCCCGGCAUCUGGUUCUUGUCCGCAGACGCGGCCCACCUGGCCCCGCGCACGGCCUCCUCCACCUCGCAGGUGAUUCUCGCGCUCGGACACGGUCCACCUGGCUCCAAGCGCAGACUCCUCCUCCUCCUCCUGGCGCCUGAUCCUUGUCCCGGGAUACGGCGCACCUGACCCCACGCGCAGACUCCUCCUCCCGGCACCUGGUCCUCGGCCUCGUCCCGUGGACACCGCCCGCCCUGCCCAGCAGGUACCGGAAGAGCUCGGCCUCGGCGGUGAGCAACCCCCGAAGGGGCUGGAGGGAACCCUGUGUUUCUUCAGUUCUUCCCUGCCACCGGCUUGGGAGAGUGGAACUAGUAUUCUAUCACGAUGACUUAAAAUAACUGGCACAUAAAUUAUGCAUGUUGGGAUUGAAGUGCAAUGUUCUCUCCCCCCCAUACACACCAUGUGCCUCAUUAAUGAUUAACCAGAAUAGCCAGUUACACGUCCGCGAGUAAGUCAGCUGGGGAGAAAUUGUUUGCGACCUCCAGAGCUUCGAGGAGGGCUCGUGCAUGCUGCCUGAUGCUUUGGUCCAAGAGAGAACUGUGAGGGCCAACUGGCACAAGUGUUAAGGUGUUACUGACAGCCUUCCCACCCAGAAAGGUCAACAAAACCGAGUGUAAUACCCAUAAUACAGAGCAAUCAAGGGAGAAAGAAGCCAGAGACAUCACAAGGACCCUUUGUCGUUCUAACGCAUAUGAAGACGACUCAGUUUUGGGAGUUACUCUAAAGCACCAUCCAGAACUUUAGCAUUUGAGGACAUUCAAGGCACGGCUGUCCUUCUCGGGAAAUCGCAACAUUCCAUCAGGACUCACAGGAAUACUUCGGUUUCAUUUCAAGGAGCUCAGGUCUUUUAAAGUUUGAAUCUAAACAAAAAACCAGCAUGUUGAGAGGUGCGAAGAGGGCAAAAAUCAGACUUUUUUUCCUACAAUAUAAAAAUUCUUAGAAGAAAUUGCCAACAUAUUUCCUCCAAAUUGAAGAUUUUUUUCCAAUGAACAGCCAAACCAAAGCUGCUUCCUAGUCCAUCUGCUCUUUAAAAGAAUUUUGAAAAAGUAUGUACCAAAUAUGUAGUUAAAAUCCUUCAAAAUUUUAAAUAGUUGCAAAGUUUUAACUUCUGAUGUCCUGAUGACAUCCUGAAACUGCUAAAUAUCCUUUUAAAAAUGUCCAAUAGACUCCAAUUACAAUAGAAAUACAAUCCCCAUUCUCAGUCUUAAAGAAUUAUGAAAAAGCUCGUUUAAAAAUCAGAAAUUUUACAUUCUUUUCUCCAACUCAUUCCGCUUCCCCCAACAAAACUGUAUCCUAAAGUAAUACAUUUUUAUACUAAAAAAUUUUACUGAUCACACUUUUUUUGCAGGAGACCCAUAUAAAUACAGCCCAUUCUCAUUCGUGGAUUCUGUGCAAAUUCACAUACUCGAUAAAAUUUGUUCGUAACCCCAAAUCAGUACAUGUGGCUCCUUCUCAUUUAUAGACGUGUACAGAGCAGUGAAAGUUUUGAACAGCCUUCACAUACACAUUCCUAGCUGAACUUGAACAAGGUCAUGCUCUGCCAACUUAUUUCAGCUGGUAAUGUAAGCAGAUGUCCUUUUCAAAGGCUACUGGCACAUUUUUCACAUUUUUGUGCUUUUUGUUCAUGAUUUUGCGGUUUUAAAUGGCCCCCAAGCGUAGUGCUAAGGCACUGUCUAAUGCUCCGAAGCGCAAGAAGGUUGUAAUGUGCCUUACUGAGAAAAUACGUGUGUUAGACAAGCUUCGUUCAGGCCUGAGUUACAGUGCUGUUGGCCGUGAAUUCAAUGUUCAUGAGUCAACAAUACGGUAUAUCCAGAAAAAGGAAGAGGACAUUCGUCGAUCUGUACGUGAGGCCACUCCAGAAAGUGCUAAAGUAACAUCAAUUGUGCGUGAUGCAGCUAUGGAAAAGAUGGAAAAGCAGUUAAAUCUGUGGAUCCAGGAGACGACAACCAAUAAAAAGAACAUAGUAGACAGUGUUGUUGUGAGGCUGAAAGCCAAGGACAUUUACAGUCAUGUUACCCAGGGUCAGGAAAAGGUUAAACCCUUCUCAGCAAGUGCAGGCUGGCUUGCACGUUUCAAAAGGCGAUACCACAUGAAAAAUGUUCAACUUGCAGGCAAGGCAGGUCCUGCAAAUCAGGAAGCUGCAGAAGAAUUUAAAAAGUAUCUGCUAAGCAUUAUACAUGAGUUAUAUGGAAGAGCAGGUUUUCAAUGCUGAUGAAACAGGCUUGUUUUACAAGAAUGUUGGCAAACGAACCUAUAUAAUGCAAAUGGCAUCCAAGGCUCCUGGCUUUAAAUCAUUCAAAGACCGUGCAACCAUGCUACUAUGUGCCAAUGCCAAGGGUGACUUUAAGUGCAAACCCCUAAUGGUACACAGAGCACAAAACCCACGAGCACUCAGAGGGAAAAAUCUGAACCGUAUGCCGGUCCACUGGAGGUGGAACAAAAAAGCGUGGAUGGCAUCCGAAAUAUUCUGGGACUGGUUCCACAACUGCUUCAUCCCAGAAGCUGAACGCUAUCUCCACAGCAAAAACCUUGCCUUCAGAAUUUUAUUAAUUUUGGAUAGUGCCCCAGUUCAUUGCCAUGAAGAACUUGAAAAUGCCCACCCCGACAUAGAAGUUCUCUUCAUGCCCCCAAACACUGCCUCUCUCGUCCAACCCCUCAGUCAGGGCGUAAUAAAAGCUUUCAAGGUGCACUACACCAGGGAGCUCUACAGCAAGGCUUCUGAGGCUCUCGACACCAACAAGGAAGCCACCAUGAUGGACCACUGGAAAUCCAUCAGUAUUCGCAAUGUUAUAGAUUAUAUCAGCCUGGGACAGUAUCAAGCAGGCUACUAUUAAUAACUGUUGGGGAAAGGUCUGGCCAGACUGCGUGAAAAAUUUUGAAGGCUUUGAAGGUGUCACAGAAAAUAUAAAGACCAGUGUCGAAAACAUAAUGCAUAUUGCACAGCAAAUAAGUGGAGAAGGCUUCAGAGACAUGAGGGAGGGGGACGUGGAGGAAAUUUUGGCAGAAAUGGCAGUAGAACCCACCAAGAAAGACCUGGAUGAGAUGGCAGAGCAUGGCACUGGAGUCAGUGAUGAUGACGAAGGAGACGAAAGUCAGCCUGAAACUCCAAGAAUUGUCCCUCUCACGGCAGCCAAAAUAUCGGAAUGGAAUUCUGCCCUGGAAAAAAUUUUCAAUGACAUGGAAGAGUGUGACCCUAUGCUGGAAUGCAGCCUCACGUUUAAGCGCCUGACCUCCACUGCAUUCAUCCCUUAUGCUGAAACACUUAAAGAUUUGAGGCGAAAAGCCAAGCAGACAAGGCUGAAGGAAUUUUUCAAGCCAGUUUGGGAGGGAAUGUUGCUGACAACAUCACCAGGUUGUGAAAGUCAAACUCCUGGGGUGGAACCACCUGAUCUCACAUGCCAGCCUCACUGAUGCCUUCCUCUUCUGCCGAGAUUCCAGGUGUUUCUUCUUUGUGCGAUGCUCUCGUGCAUGACUGUCCUGUGCUGUGGGCGCACUGUGUGCAACCGAGCGGGAGAGGCAAUCACUGCACGGUGCUGUCCCUGGGAUGGUGUUUCCUUAUGAAGAAACACUGCACACAACUAGUUAUUUGUAAGGAACACAUACUGAAUAAGCUGUCUUCACACAGAAAUACAUCUAAAACAAGAUCACGUCUCGACUGGUGGACAAACACGUUGUGAUCUGAACGCCAAGGAAACCAACCCUGUGCUUCCCCCAGGAACAGUGGCUCAGUAGUUGUAGCUCAGUGUUCACCAGGACCGUAGCCCAAACUACCACAAAUCACUAAAGUCAGCUCUGCCUUUAAGAUUGUUAAGCCAUGAAGAUCUAAUUGUUACCAUUUUUCUUCUAAAGUAACACAACUAUUAUGAGUACAUAAAUGAUGGGAACAAUACACUACAGUUUUUGAGGAAAAUUAUCAAAUGUAAAAUGUAAGACUUUGCCUGGAAAUGUGUAUCUUAAUGAGAUGUAGAGGGUUGUUUUUUUUAAUUAGUUCAUUUACUCAUAGACAACUAUCAGUUUUUGCUAGAAAGAAAUACAGUCCAGCAUUAAUUCUAUUCCUGUCUUGGGGGUUUUUUAUGCAAGCGUUGAGAAACCUCAUUCCUAAAAAUAAGUAAAUAAAAAAUGGAAGGAGUUUU